rnacentral:rRNA from 1 species
UACAGAGGGGGCAAGCGUUGUUCGGAAUUACUGGGCGUAAAGGGCGCGUAGGCGGCCUGCUAAGUCGAACGUGAAAUCCCCGAGCUCAACUCGGGAACUGCGUCCGAUACUGGUUGGCUUGAAUCCGGGAGAGGGAUGCGGAAUUCCAGGUGUAGCGGUGAAAUGCUUAGAUAUGACAUAGAACACCAAUUGCGAAGGCAGCUUACUACGCAGUUAUUGACGCUGAGGCACGAAAGCGUGGGGAUCAAACAGG